rnacentral:rRNA from 1 species
UACGUAGGGGGCAAGCGUUGUCCGGAUUUAUUGGGCGUAAAGAGCGUGUAGGCGGCCAUGUAGGUCCGUUGUGAAAACUCGAGGCUCAACCUCGAGACGCCGAUGGAAACCAUGUGGCUAGAGUCCGGAAGAGGAGAAUGGAAUUCCCGGUGUAGCGGUGAAAUGCGCAGAUAUCAGGAAGAACACCCGUGGCUAAGGCGGCUCUCUAGUACGGUACUGACGCUGAGACGCGAAAGCGUGGGGAGCGAACAGG